GUAAUACAUGGUAUCAAGCAUCUAAUAUAAAAUCAGGCCUGGGGUGACUUGCCGUUGAAUCAAAUCACUCUUUGACCAGAGAGUAGGCCCUCUGUAGGGGAGUUCACAGUAGCAGAGUCAGCAAAAACUUCAAGAGAAACAUACAAGAAAACAACUCUUGUUUCUUCUACUCUUCUCACAGCUUUACUUCUGACACCAGACGUGUGUGGGGUUUUUUUCCACACCAACCAUUUCUCUUAACUGUCCAGACACCAACUGGGUGUCCUGCAGUUCGGUUCGGACACUAACUACCUGGAGUUAAUGCAGACCUCAAAGAUUCAGGGCUUAUUCCCACAAGGUUGUCCGUUUCAGAUGCCAGUCACACGUCUCAGGAUACCAUCUUUACUUCUGAAUAACUAGCUACCAAUCAGGGGUUCCCAUAACCCACCUCUUCCUCAGUAACAGCCAGAUGAAGAGGUACAUAAAUGGAAGUCUGGAAAGAAGGGAGCUGAAUGGAGCAAUUUCUGUCCCUGUGAAGUUGGGGAGCACCACUCUACCAGCACAUGGAUGUGUUCAACUGGAAUUUCUCUGAUCCUCU
ensembl:lncRNA